CUUGCCUAAAUGAGGCCUCCAGGGAGGGGCUUUCCCACCAAGGAACAGCUCCCGCAGAACUGCACAGAGCUGAUGGUUCCUGGCUGAAAGCUGCAGGCCAGUGUUCCAUCCAGCAGCUGUUUUUUUAGCUGCUGCUUCCACACAAAGGAGGUUUGCUUAGAGACAGCAGCCUUGCCGACAAAGCAUAGACGUCUGCAAUGGCGCUGGGAUCCCUCUCGACACUAGCGCGGUGGGGUUACUGAGAGCGACCCGUUGAUUCUAGCUUCGAAGGACCUCCUCCUGCAGUCGGGAGGUAAGUGUCCACAAAGGGCUGUGAUGGAAGGCAGACGUUCUUGGACUUGGAUCCGAACUGAAGAUCCUCAUUGAGCGCAUCAGGGAGGCAAGGUUUCUAUAGCCCAUUGAUUUACCUUCUCGAGACUAGCUAGAAUCUGAGAGCGCCAUAUAGGGAGGAGGGCACCUCUCCUGCCAAAAACAUCGACGGCUCCACUGCAGACCCCCACCUCUCCUCCUCGUCCAGCAACACAUCCCCUCCUCCCCUCAACAUUCAAUGCUCUUUAGACUCAGGACCAACUCACCUAAAAUGGGGGUGAGGGGAAAGAUCCUGAUUAACUGAGUCUCAGGAGAUUAUACUGGGAAAUUCUUUAUAAAAGAGUUCCUGGAUUGGGGGCAGGGCUUUGCUUGAGGGGGUCUCCAAUAGCUUGGGAGCUGACCGUGUGCCGGGCCGCUUCCCGCGGGGCCCCCAGCUCCGUGCGCCCCAUGCCCGGCGGCGCCUGGGCCUCGGGGACCCGCAGAGCAGGCGAGCGCGCCGUCCCCGCCUCCAGGCGGGCCGGGGGCGGGGACCCCUCCCCUUCGCCCAUCCCCUGAGGGCCGGCCGCCCUGGCGCUUGAGGGAGGGCCGGGCGGAGGGGGGAGAGGGCGGCGGGGCGGGGCUCGGGCCACUGCGGAGCGGGGGGCGGCGCCGCGGGGCCCCGGUGAACCGGGACCGGGGCGCACGGGCCGGGCCGAGCCGAGGCGGCCGCCGAGCCGGGUCGGAGCCGUCGGGGGCCUGGCGCACCCGGCCUGGCCGCUUUCCCCGCGGCGCUGGGAUCUUGGCUGGGGGCGGCGCCG
rnacentral:lncRNA from 1 species